rnacentral:rRNA from 1 species
AGUGAACGCUGGCGAUAGGCCUAACACAUGCAAGUCGAACGGCAGCACAGUAAGAGCUUGCUCUUACGGGUGGCGAGUGGCGGACGGGUGAGGAAUACAUCGGAAUCUACUUUUUCGUGGGGGAUAACGUAGGGAAACUUACGCUAAUACCGCAUACGACCUACGGGUGAAAGCAGGGGAUCUUCGGACCUUGCGCGAUUGAAUGAGCCGAUGUCGGAUUAGCUAGUUGGCGGGGUAAAGGCCCGCCAAGGCGACGAUCCGUAGCUGGUCUGAGAGGAUGAUCAGCCACCCUGGAACUGAGACACGGUCCAGACUCCUACGGGGGGCAGCAGUGGGGAAUAUUGGACAAUGGGCGCAAGCCUGAUCCAGCCAUACCGCGUGGGUGAAGAAGGCCUUCGGGUUGUAAAGCCCUUUUGUUGGGAAAGAAAAGCAGCAGGUUAAUACCCCGCUGUUCUGACGGUACCCAAAGAAUAAGCACCAGCUAACUUCGUG